UAGAAGCAUUUGGGGUGCGUUAAGCUGAGAUUAUACCCAUGGAAUCUGCUCCAGGUAAUACUGGCGAAGAGAAAUGUUUACAAAUAAUU
rnacentral:ncRNA from 1 species